rnacentral:rRNA from 1 species
GAUGAACGCUGGCGGCGUGCCUAAUACAUGCAAGUCGAGCGAACAGAUAAGGAGCUUGCUCCUUUGACGUUAGCGGCGGACGGGUGAGUAACACGUGGGUAACCUACCUAUAAGACUGGAAUAACUCCGGGAAACCGGGGCUAAUGCCGGAUAACAUUUAGAACCGCAUGGUUCUAAAGUGAAAGAUGGUUUUGCUAUCACUUAUAGAUGGACCCGCGCCGUAUUAGCUAGUUGGUAAGGUAGCGGCUUACCACGGCAACGAUACGUAGCCGACCUGAGAGGGUGAUCGGCCACACUGGAACUGAGACACGGUCCAGACUCCUACGGGAGGCAGCAGUAGGGAAUCUUCCGCAAUGGGCGAAAGCCUGACGGAGCAACGCCGCGUGAGUGAUGAAGGUCUUCGGAUCGUAAAACUCUGUUAUUAGGGAAGAACAAAUGUGUAAGUAACUGUGCACGUCUUGACGGUACCUAAUCAGAAAGCCACGGCUAACUACGUG